UAUGUUUUAAAAUUGACUAUGGAAAUGUUAAUAUUUUUGUAAUUAGUUUGAAUGAAAACUUUCUAUUGUUGGCAAAAGAAUAUACUGAUGUCAUAAAGUUAUUACUGACCAGGAAAUCAGCAUAUAUUCAGUAUAUAUUCUGUAGUGAAAUUAUAGUCAAACUAUUUUAUACUAUUAGGAUAAGACGAGUAAAAAUCUCAGAAGAGUGCACCUAAUAUUAAGCGUUUGUUGUUUUUUUUUUUUUUUCUCUUGGGAAGUGGUACCUGUGACGCUCAAGUUGUUUUAGCUUAUAUAUAUUUUCUCUUUAUUAUGUUUCACAUACAUUUGCAUAAUUUUGAAAGCUAGCAUUCCUAAGACAGCUGUAACAGUAUUAUUUUUUGAAUGUACUUAGUUUCAAGUACUUUCUUUAACUUACUCAUCAAUAUUCAUCGCACCACCCCACAGUAGUUAUCUGUUUUCAAGCCCCGAUUGUGGGUGACCAGUUCCAAUCAGCUAUAAGAAUGAGUAACGAAAGAAAAGACCAAGCCUUCUAGAAAUCCCAGCGGCAAACACUCAAGAAUCUCGUGACGUCAUCCGAAACUGAGUCGCAGCCGAGGCUUCGGGGAAGCGUAGUUCCAGAGUGGGGCGUAGGGAGCCAUCUGCGCAUAAACAAUUCCGAUUCCUUUCGGUAGUCGCCAUUUUCUAUUUUGCACCCCAGCGCUCAGAGGACUCCGGACCCUCCUGCCCGGCGCGGUGCCGCACAGGGCGGGGCCUGGAAUCCGCGCGGGCCGGGCGCCAAGGCGGAGCUCCUGAUAGUGUGUGGAAGGUCGCUCUUGGGGCGCGAGGCCGGGGCGGGGUGAUGGUGGCGGGAAGCCGGGUCUCUGCGGCUGCGCUGUGUCGGAGAUCCUGGAAACUGACGCCCACCUCUGAACGCGGGACUGGCCUCCGAGGGGCACUAGGGAGAGACCUGGGAAGGGGCUGGCUGGCAGGCCGGUUGUCCGCGCUCCCGUUCCUCUCCAGACCCUUGUUUCUUGACCUGCAUGAGAGGCGGUCGGGAGAGGCCUGGGGCAGCGUGCUGAGGGAAUGGAGGUUUGUGACGUGGAUCUGACACCCGUCACGUUCUGGCUAGCGCGUUAGCGGUCCUAGCUGCUGGAGAAAGGGCGUUGUUGAAGUUCUAGGGACUUGGGCUCAAGUCCAACGCCUGCCAGUAAAUGGGCAGGUUAAUCCGGUACGAUUCAGAUACUCUUCUGUAAAUUGACAACUAACCUUUCGAGUUGUUUUCUGUAUUAAAUAGGAUAGCAUAUUUCAUGUGUGAUAAUAAAGGUGAUUCCUGGAACUGCAAGAUAAGGAAGGUCUAAUGAUUUCUGUCUUUCAACUUUCCCUCUUCUGACUCCAUAGUUUCUGUCCUUUCCCAAGAGCAGCAGAAAAUGAACAAAUUCCAGUGUGGGUCUGCUGGUAGAAAAUUCAGUUUAUCUGAAAUAUUCAUGAAGAACUUUUUCACAGUGUAUAGAAAUCUUGGUUGACAGUUCUUUUAAAACAUUGAAAAGUAUUCAUUGCCUUCUGCUGAUGCUAUUAAAAACUCACCUGUUGAU